GAGUCUCGCCGAUCGAGUGGGGACGCACAUGAAAAAUGCGGGUCCACAGUGGCCCAACGCGUAACUUAGAUUUACUUAGUAUGAAACCCGGGGAAAAAAAAACUACAAGAUUCAAUACCAAAGGGCAAGUUGUUUAUGAUGGAAAAUGGGAAAGAUUGUCAAGCUAUAUGGAAACAUUGGUGCGAUCUCAACACAAUGUGCCCAUCCAAGUUCAAGAUUGGAAUCAUGUUAGUGAAGAUGUAAAGGAAAAGAUUUGGGCCUUAGUAUUGGUAUAUGCUAGUUAUUAUUCAAUCUAAAUUGUAAUGUUAUUGUUUAAAAAUGAUACCUCUUAUUUAUACAUGACAUUUUAAUGCAAUACAAGAAAAAUAUGAACUAGAAGAAACAUGUAAGAGCUACAUUCUUCAAUGUUGUGGAAAUUUGUUUAGAAGCUAUAGAAAUAAAAUGAAGGCCAAGUAUUAUAACCCUUAUAAUACAGAUGAGGAGAGAUUGUGUCAUCGACCUCCACACUUAUCAGAUGAUGAUUGGAGGUGGCUCAUCCACUUUUGGGGUACACCUGAAGCCAAGGAUAUCUCAUAAAAAAACAAGGCAAAUAGGGCAAAGCAAGUGAUAAAGCAUACAUCGGGAUCAAAAAGUUAUGCUCAAAUUCGAUAUGAAUAGACACAAAAGAAGGAGGAUCGAAGUGAGCCUAAUAGAAUUGAGAUGUUUGCCCUAACACACACAAGAAAAGAUGGGACGCCUGUUGAUGAUCAUUCUAAGGAGAUUAUGGAUUAAUUUCAGCAAUUACUAUCCCAACCUGAGGGGACAUCUUCUUCUACUUCUGCAUCAUCUGGAGCAUCUACAUCUGUAGCAUCUACAUAUGUAGAUGAGAUAUAUACUCAAGUCAUGGGUCUAGAGAGACAUGGUCGUGUUCGAGGGUAUGGAUUUGGUCCUACUCCUACCUCAAUCUUUGGUUCUACUAGUAGAAGGCGAUCAGGAGUUAUUCUUUCAACACAAAUUGAAAACGCCCAAGAGAUGCUAAUAGCUGCAGAACAAAAGUUUACAACUGCAACUGAAGAACUCUCAAAUGUGAAAGAGAAACUCUCACAUGUGAAAGAAACAUUUGAAGAGAGGUUGAUAGAAGUUCAAA